GACGAACGCUGGCGGCGUGCUUAACACAUGCAAGUCGAGCGAGCGGCGGACGGGGGAGUAAUGUAUGGGAAACUGCCCGAUGGAGGGGGAGAACUACUGGAAACGGUAGCUAAUACCGCAUACCAUCGGAUGUGCCCAGAUGGGCUUAGCUAGUAGGUGUGGUAACGGUUCACCUAGGCGACGAUCCCUAUCUGGUCUGAGAGGAUGACCAGCCACACGGGAACUGUGAGACGGUCCAGAUCCCUACGGUGGGCAGCAGUGGGGAAUAUUGCACAAUGGGCGCAAGCCUGAUGCAGCCAUGCCGCGUGUAUGAAGAAGGCCUUCGGGUUGUAAAGUACUUUCAGCGAGGAGGCGUUACUCGCAGAAGAAGCACCGGCUAACUCCGUGCCAGCAGCCGCGGUAAUAC
rnacentral:rRNA from 1 species